rnacentral:piRNA from 1 species
UUCUGUCAGACUCACUGACUGGAAAUA